rnacentral:rRNA from 1 species
UACGAAGGGGGCUAGCGUUGCUCGGAAUCACUGGGCGUAAAGGGCGCGUAGGCGGCCUGAUCAGUCGGGGGUGAAAGCCUGUGGCUCAACCACAGAAUGGCCUCGAUACUGUCAGGCUUGAGACCGGAAGAGGUAAGUGGAACUGCGAGUGUAGAGGUGAAAUUCGUAGAUAUUCGCAAGAACACCAGUGGCGAAGGCGGCUCACUGGCCCGAUACUGACGCUGAGGCACGAAAGCGUGGGGAGCAAACAGG